rnacentral:rRNA from 1 species
CACGUAUUUAGCCGUCGCUUCUUCUGCAGGUACCGUCACUUUCUUCUUCCCUGCUGAAAGCACUUUACAGUCCGAAAACCUUCUUCAUGCACACAGAAUUGCUGGAUCAGGGUUGCCCCCAUUGUCCAAUAUUCCCCACUGCUGCCUCCCGUAGGAGUAAGGGCCGUAUCUCAGUCCCCUUGUGGCCGUUCACCCUCUCAGGCCGGCUACCUAUCAUCGCCUUGGUGGGCCGUUACCCCACAACUAGCUAAUAGGACGCAAGGCUCUCCUGCAGCGUCUCCUUUCAUCAGGCCGGCAUGCGCCAGCCUGACAAUACCAGGUGUUAUCAGUCGUUUCCGUCUGUUAUCCCUGUCUGCAGGGCAAGUUCCUUACGCGUUACUCACCCGUCGCCUUGGCUAGACUGCGCAAGCGCAGCUUCGCCAAUGACUUGCAUGUGUUAAGCAUUCUGUCAGCGUUCAUCCUGAGCCAGGAUCAAACUCU